rnacentral:piRNA from 1 species
UGGGAGAAUGGUAGCACUUUGAGGGAUG